rnacentral:lncRNA from 1 species
UCAUAUAUCUUGCUAUCACUUAGUUGUUUAUCUUGCUUAGCAUAAGUUGUUGGUGCACAUAGCUGAGCCUAGUUGUUGUAGGUUUUGUGCUUGACAAAUUAAACGUUAGUUUUAUUCCGCAUUUGUUCAAGCCUAAACUGUAAUUAUUUUAAAGCGCCUAUUCACCCCCCUCUAGGCGAUAUCCACGUCCUUUCAGCAAGUCUAUUCUUUCGCGAUCCCAUCCGGAGGCCUUUUCCGAUACUCUGCGGAAGGGGGAAUCCAUCACGGAGCCCAUCUUCACCAACCUUGCUGCCUCCCACAUGAUGUGUGAGUAGUCCCUAGAGGACCUACAUGUCCAUAAC